UUGUGUUAAGGACUUUUCAAAGUUGGCGGAUUUCGUGAAGUCGAAUAGAGUCUUGAAGAGUUGAAGGUGAAGAUUGAAGCGAAGAUUGCGUGUUUCAAGAUCAAAAGAUUCGUUCGUGAUGCUCGGAAUCUCAAGUAUGUAUGUUAAUAAUUUGUGGUGAGAUUCUAUUUUGUUAAAAGUGUUUGGAAGAUUUAGGAUGGAUUUUAAAAUGUAAAAUUGGACAAAACUGAGCCUUUCAAGGUUCAGGG
rnacentral:lncRNA from 1 species